AUUAUCCCUCAUAAGUUUGACGACAAGAGGUACCGUUUCUCUUUAAAAAAGGUUAUUAACUAUAAAAAUUAUUAAUUUAUAGUUAUUUUUUAAAGUUAAUACGGUGGCACAGAAUCGGAGGCCCCGACUGUUUACUAAAAACACAGCUCAGUGCAAUCAUAAAAAUGAUAGUAUACUGAGUGAGAUUUGCCCGAUGCCAUUAAUAUAAGAGCGGUCAUUACAUAAAAGUGACUUAUCGAAAAUCUGGUUAAUAGCGGUCUUAACUAUGAGGAUCCUAAGGUAGCAAAAUCAGUUGGCCAUUAAAUGUGGUCCGGUAUCAAUAAUUUAACGAUGGUCUCACUGUCUCUACAACUUGCUCAGUGAAAUUGAAUUACGCGUGCAGAUGCGCCGUUACUUACAGGGGGACGGGAAGACCCUAUGCAG
rnacentral:rRNA from 1 species